GGUCGCGUAGCUCAGCGGUAGAGCACUCGCUUCACACGCGAGUGGUCACUGGUUCGAUCCCAGUCGCGACCACCA
rnacentral:tRNA from 1 species